UCCCUGGUGGCUCAGACGGUAAAGUGUCUGCCUACAAUGCAGGAGACCCAGGUUCAAUCCGUGGGUUGGGAA
rnacentral:tRNA from 1 species